rnacentral:rRNA from 1 species
CAAACUGAAGAUGGCGACCGGGCGCACGGGUGAGUAACACGUAUCCAACCUGCCGAUAACUCCGGAAUAGCCUUUCGAAAGAAAGAUUAAUACCGGAUAGUAUACGAAUAUCGCAUGAUAUUUUUAUUUAAAGAAUUUCGGUUAUCGAUGGGGAUGCGUUCCAUUAGUUUGUUGGCGGGGUAACGGCCCACCAAGACUACGAUGGAUAGGGGUUCUGAGAGGAAGGUCCCCCACAUUGGAACUGAGACACGGUCCAA